rnacentral:sRNA from 1 species
GUCUAGUAUGGCGGUGCGUGGUUUUAGAGCUAGAAAUAGCAAGUUAAAAUAAGGCUAGUCCGUUAUCAACUUGAAAAAGUGGCACCGAGUCGGUGCU